AUGGCGACGCCGGAGCACGCGCACGCGGGCCGGGGCAACGCGACGGCCACCGCCAUCGCGACCAACAGGUGGGGGCCCUACUCGGGCGCGGGCGACUUCGCGGGCAACAUGGCCAUCAUCCUCGCGUCCCUGCUCGCCGCGCUCGCGCUCGCCCUCGCGCUCCACGCCGGCGUCAGGUGCCUGCUCCGCCGCCGCCGGCAACGGCAGCGGCAGGGGCGGGGCGUCGACGGCGCGGCUGAAGGAGACCCGGAGAAGCCGGCCGUGGCGGAGCCCGCGCCGCCGCCCCCGCUGCCGCCGCUGCUGGUGUACUCGGCGUCCGGGACGCGGCUGGCGGGCGCGGCCGCGCACGAGUGCGCCAUCUGCCUGGCCGAGUUCGCGGAGGGCGACGCCGUGCGCGCCAUGCCGGCGUGCGGCCACGGCUUCCACGCGCGCUGCAUCGAGCGCUGGCUCGCCGUCCCCACCUCCGCCGCAGGGUCACGCCGCCCCUCCUGCCCCACCUGCCGCGCGCCGGCCGCGCCGCCCUGA
rnacentral:rRNA from 1 species